UACGUAGGUGGCGAGCGUUGUCCGGAUUUAUUGGGCGUAAAGGGCGCGCAGGUGGUGCGGUAAGGCUGCCGUGAAAUCUCCCGGCUCAACUGGGAGGGUGCGGUGGCGACUGCCGGACUGGAGGCACUCAGAGGCCGGUGGAAUUCCCGGUGUAGUGGUGAAAUGCGUAGAGAUCGGGAGGAACACCAGUGGCGAAAGCGGCGCACUGGACCACAACUGACGCUGAGGCGCGAAAGCUAGGGGAGCAAACAGG
rnacentral:rRNA from 1 species